CUAAGUGCAUCCUACUCCAAACAGCAAAUCUGAACCUACUAAAGCCAACAACACAGCAAGGAUCCGGAUGGCUAGGAACUAAGAAAAUGUAUAGUCAAAUCCAGUAGCCUCACUGCAAAUAGCUAAUGAUACCGCAGGUCAAAGGACCACUUACACCACUACAGCAUUGAGAAGACCACUAACGAGUGAGUAGACAUCCAUGUGGUUCUCAUGUUGGUCACGCUCAGUGUAAGUUGUUCUCUAACAACCACCCAUACCUUCAUCUCAAUAUCUCUACACCACAGAUCUGAGACUCAUCUGCCCACA
rnacentral:lncRNA from 1 species